UUGGCUCGUCGGCGCCGCAAAAUAUUCUUCACUGAUUUUCACAACUUUCCGUUAUGCGUUUUCGUUUUAGAAAAACUUGAGAAUUUGGUUCGUUGCGUUGCAAAUGAGUUUUAAAAACUAGUUGAGCACGUACGCACACACAUUUAAAGAUUUUUCGAACUGAUUCCGAUACAUAUAUGUAUGUAGCACUAUAUAUUCAUUUGUAGAUAUAUGUAUGUAUGUGGCAUUACGAAAAUUUGUGUGUGGCUGGUUGUGUGAGUAUGCUAGAUGUGUGUAUUUUGAUACCGAUAUACAACAAUUUAUAAACGACGACAAUACGACGAGAAUCAAAAAACACAACUUGCUGUCGAGAGUGCAAGAACUAAAUGGUUGUUCGAUUGCCGCCAGGAUAAAUGCAGCCAGGACUCGCGACUGCGCUGCCCGCUGCACCAGUACCAGUAGCAGCAGCAGCAGCUCCUCUGCUCCUCGUUCUGCCAUUGGCGGCGUACAGUUGAGUACGCGAGAGAGCAAAGACAUAACAACUGCGUAGUUUUUGCAUUGGCAUGCACAGUGGAACGAAAACUACAUCAGCAUAUCUAAGGCUAGUCUGCAAAGUCUAAUGUCAUCCAAAAAGAAAAAGAUAAAAAAAAACUCUAACAUGGAUUUUACCAGGGUUGAGUGCGUGAACACGCCUCCACCUGAUCCACAAAACUUGUGAAAACACAGGAUCACUCUCGACAUCUUUCUGGAGAAGCUGCCAACUCUACUAGUCCGCAAUGGAAAAAGUUUGGAGUCGGAACGGAACACGUCGAGGACAAGCGCUUUCGACGAGCUGACAGACCUACUGUCCUGCUCCCUAAAAGUGGGCUAUCCAUGGACGAAAGUAAUGGACUACAUUAUCGCAGAUGAUAAUUACUUAUACGAGCCAGUGACUGCUUCCAACCUAUAACGAUGAGCUUGUGUAGGCUUCAAGAAUACUUGCCUUACUCUCAUCAUUGACGCGUCCAUUGUAGGGGAUCUCUAAAUGAUAGACGGUUCUCAAGCAUGACACCCAGGAACCUUAUGGUUUGUUUUGAAGGAAGAAAGGAAAAAGGAAGAAAAAAUAGCAAAGAAGGGAA
rnacentral:sRNA from 1 species